rnacentral:ncRNA from 1 species
GUGUUGUAUGAAAGGAGAGAAGGUUAGCACUACCCUUGACAAGGAUAGAAGAGACCCUUGGGCCUUACAACAUGCAUACGGUUAAUUAUUUUC